rnacentral:tRNA from 1 species
UCCCUUGUAGCUCAGUUGGUAAAGAAUCUGCCUGCAAUGCAAGAGACCUAGGUUCGAUUCCUGGGUUGGGAA